AUGCCAAUUACAGAUACCAGUGUGCCAACUGAUGUGUUAGUUAGCAGUAUGGUCACAGUCAAAACCACCACAGCUGGUCAGGAAGGCACCACUGGAACUGCAAGUCCCAAGGUGCCUACUGAUAGAGAUGCUUCAAUGCCAAACACAAAAGGAGGUGAUCCAACUAUCAAAGUGCCGUCCCCAAGAGUUGUCUUUCAGCAACCAUUAACACAAGAGGAGGUGUUCAACAUUAUAAGUAGGUGCAAGCCUCCAAGGCCGCCAACUACAACACUAUUGCGAACCAAGUCAGCGAAUGAUGCACCCAUGUUUGUGCCGCAAGGAGAUGCCCUGGUCCUUGAACCCUUACGAAGAUCAAACUCUUAUCAUGGUGACGGGUUCUGCGAUGCACCAUCUUUUGACCUCGGCAUAGAUGGUGAUGCUCCAGCACCUGCUCCAACAGUAGAUACAGCGGAAGCCGGUGUGAUUAGCAUCGAUGAGUGUGAGUUAGACCCAGCAGCUGUGAAUGAAGGAUGUGAUGCUGCUGAUGUUGGCAAGGCAAUAGCUCAAGAACUAGAUGUUGGUUCACCAGAGAAUUGCCACACCCCGAUAUGCGCAGAACCAGAACUUGGCACGAGCAGUUCUUGGGGGCCACCUCUUGCACGAAGACAGAGGAGGGUAAGAAGGCCCGCAGCAUCUCAAAGGUCUCCAUUCAUCGAAUACAACAAGAACAAGACUUUCAGCACCAAUGAGGUAGUGAACAAGCUUUACGCUGCCCUCUUGUAUUGGGUCAGGCAUCACAAAGGAGCAAAUGAUGGAGCUACCAGCCCUGAGAUAAUUAAGUAUGGUGCUUUCUACAUUUCUUUAAAGGAGUUAGUUGAUUCGAUGAGGCCGGUUCAAUGGUUGUCAAAAAUUGUUAUUGAGACUAGAAUCUUGCACAUCAUGGAUAACUUACCAGAAGGGUCAAAGAAGGUUGUUAUGCCACUGAGGUUUUCUAUAAAAUUACAGCAAGGGAUCCACAAUGUGAAUGAGAUGAACAAGAUGUUUGAUUACAAGAACCGUCUCGACAAGAAAGACUUAGUCAUGCUGCCAGUGCUCGAGUGCGCAGAUGUAACCGAUAAGGACGGAGGGAGGCAUUAUUGGGUCUUCAGUGUCAACUUGAGGGACGGACGCUUCGAAGUUCUUGAUUCAAGUAGGACGCUGGACAACAUUGAGCUGAUGAACAACGCCUCUACCAUUGCGGGGGCAGUACGCCAGCUAUGGAGGAAGCAUUACCCAAAGUUCAGCAUUGAGCACUUCCAGAUUAUUGAUAUUGACGUACCGAAGCAGCUUGGCAAUAAUGAGUGUGGGUUGUUCGCACUGCUUAACGCCACCGAGUGGAAUGGUAGCCAACUGCCCAACUACGACCCCAAGGAAGUACUCAACAUCAGGAAGAAGCUGACGUAUGAUUGGGUCACCAGCGUGCACAACACCGCCCCAUGGAGGAAGUUGCUGAGAUACGACAAGGAGUAG
rnacentral:rRNA from 1 species